rnacentral:rRNA from 1 species
AAUCAAGUGCCUUAAGGGUGUUCGGUGGAUGCCUUGGCGCUGAGAGGCGAUGAAGGACGUGCUACGCUGCGAUAAGCCGUGGGGAGCUGCGAAGAAGCUUUGAUCCAUGGAUUUCAGAAUGGGGAAACCCACCUUCGAUAGCCGGAACUCCAAGACCUCAGUCGAAAGACUGUGGUGUGGGGUUCGAACAGAAAUGCGAGAUGCCUAGGCCUUUAGAUUUCGAUCGAAGAGGUUUUGGAUUUCCGGUUAUCAAAAGAAGGUAUGAGACUUGAGAAUACAUAGGAGGUUUCAAGCAAACCCAGGGAAGUGAAACAUCUAAGUACCUGGAGGAAAGGACAUCAACCGAGACUCCGUUAGUACUGGCGAGCGAACGCGGACCAGGCC